CCCUGCCUACGGGGCGCAGCAGUGGGGGAUAUUGCGCAAUGGGGGGAACCCUGAUGCAGCGACGCCGCGUGGGUGAAGGAGCGUUUCGGCGCGUAAAGCCCUAUCGGCAGGGAAGAAGAUGACGGUACCUGACCAAGAAGCCCCGGCUAACUACGUGCCAGCAGCCGCGGUAAUACGUAGGGGGCAAGCGUUAUCCGGAUUUACUGGGUGUAAAGGGGGCGCAGACGGCAAUGCAAGCCCGGAGUGAAGGCCCGGGGCCCAACCCCGGGACUGCUCUUGGAACUGCAUGGCUGGAGUA
rnacentral:rRNA from 1 species